AGCUAGUAUCUUUAAGUAAUCAAUAUUUUGAUUUUAGUACAUUUUCUAUUUUUUUAGGCCAAAAUGGUCAACAAUCCGACCUUGACUUCAUUUCUCCCUCCAAUAUUUGCGCGUUGUGUUGCACAUUAUUUCUUUUACCUCCUCUCUCCCACUGGCACAAAAUAAUCCCCUAAUUUAAAUCCUUCCCGAAAAAACAGAAACUUUGUCCAUCUUCCCCAAAAUUCUCCAUGCCAACCCUAAGUUCUACCUUGUCAAAGACAAUUUAAUUAUAGGAAAUUGGAUUCCAAGUUAAUUCUUCUCCAAUUUCAAAGGAAUGGGUGAAUUUGAAGGGUUUCUACCAAAGUGCCAUUGUGGGCUCCCGAUAGCUCGACAUCAAUCAUGGACUGAGAGAAAUCCACGAAGAAGGCUUAGCCUGCAAAUUCCAUAAGCCAGAGACUAAAAAGAUGGGCUAUAAGUAUUUUAAGUGGGUUGAUAAUAAAGAGCAGGAGGAAUGGCAAAGGUUGUUGAUCAACCAACUAAUCUGGUGGAAGAAGGUGCUUGAGGGUGAAGUGCACACACUUCAAUCUGAAGUAAAAGAGUUGAAGGGAAAAGGAGUUGCUUUCUACAGGAGAUUGAAAACUUGAAGAUCAAGUACAAGGUUGUGAAGGGUAACAAGAAGAAGUCCAUCAAGCAAGGGAAUCAGCGCGGGAAUUGCACGAGCGUGUUUUUAGUAGUUGUGUUGUUGUUGGCCUGGUGUUCUUGAUUGGUUUUUCUGUUUGUAAGGGUUAAGUAAUUAUGUAGGAUGAUGUAUUAGGUUGUUGAUGUUAUGCUUGUUAGAAGCUUGGGCAAGUUUUGGAGUAGUAUUAUUUCCUUAUAUUGGAUAUGUAUGGUUGAACAAAGCUUUUGUAUUCAUUCAUAUGAAUAACAACUUGAACUUGAAUGGUAAUGAAGAAAGUUACAUUUUGAUGCAAA